AUUGAACGCUGGCGGCGUGCUUAACACAUGCAAGUCGAUCGGUAACAGGUGUAGCAAUACAUGCUGACGAGAGGCGGACGGGUGAGUAAUGCUUGGGAAUCUGCCUAUUAGUGGGGGACAACCCGGGGAAACUCGGGCUAAUACCGCAUACGCUCUACGGAGGAAAGCCGGGGACCGCAAGGCCUGGCGCUAAUAGAUGAGCCCAAGUCGGAUUAGCUAGUUGGUAGGGUAAAGGCCCACCAAGGCGACGAUCCGUAGCUGGUCUGAGAGGAUGAUCAGCCACACUGGAACUGAGACACGGUCCAGACUCCUACGGGAGGCAGCAGUGGGGAAGUAUUGGACAAUGGGCGCAAGCCUGAUCCAGCCAUGCCGCGUGUGUGAAGAAGG
rnacentral:rRNA from 1 species